UACGAAGGGGGCUAGCGUUGUUCGGAAUCACUGGGCGUAAAGGGCGCGUAGGCGGCUUUUCAAGUCGGGGGUGAAAGCCUGUGGCUCAACCACAGAAUUGCCUUCGAUACUGUUAGGCUUGAGACCGGAAGAGGUGAGUGGAACUGCGAGUGUAGAGGUGAAAUUCGUAGAUAUCAAGAGGAACAUCGGUGGCGAAGGCGGCUUCCUGGCUCGUUUCUGACGCUCAGACGCGAAAGCGUGGGUAGCAAACAGG
rnacentral:rRNA from 1 species